UACAGAGGGGCAAGCGUUGUUCGGAAUUACUGGGCGUAAAGGGCGCGUAGGCGGCCUGUUAAGUCGAACGUGAAAUCCCCGGGCUCAACCCGGGAACUGCGUCCGAUACUGGCAGGCUUGAAUCCGGGAGAGGGAUGCGGAAUUCCAGGUGUAGCGGUGAAAUGCGUAGAUAUCAGGAGGAACACCGGUGGCGAAGGCGG
rnacentral:rRNA from 1 species